rnacentral:rRNA from 1 species
UACGUAGGGUGCAAGCGUUGUCCGGAAUUAUUGGGCGUAAAGAGCUCGUAGGCGGUUUGGUAAGUUGGAUGUGAAAUCUCCAGGCUCAACUUGGAGGGGUCAUUCGAUACUGCCAUGACUAGAGUUCGGUAGGGGAGUGUGGAAUUCCUGGUGGAGCGGUGAAAUGCGCAGAUAUCAGGAAGAACACCGGUGGCGAAGGCGGCUCUCUGGGCCUUACCUGACGCUGAGGAGCGAAAGCGUGGGUAGCGAACAGG